AAGGGAGACCUAAUUCAGGUAUGGGACGAAAAAAAAGUAGUCGCUACCAAGAAUCAAUCCCAAAAGGUCGGAGCGAGGUAUGAGGCUUUCAAACUAGGUUCUGGGUUCAAACAAGACCUGAAUCAGGAACAAGGGCUAUUAGCUCAGGUGAUUAGAGCGCACCCCUGAUAAGGGUGAGGUCCCUGGUUCGAGUCCAGGAUGGCCCACCUGCACAGGUGGCAAAAACAAGAGAAGCGAGGAAUCAGCACCUUAUCUUAUCUAUAUAUAAGAGAGAAUGCUGGCUCUGAGUAAAGAGUCCAGAGGAACCUUGAAAACUGCAUAGAGCUAGGUGAAAAAGCCAAAAAAGAAGACCGCAA
rnacentral:tRNA from 1 species